AUUGAACGCUGGCGGCAGGCCUAACACAUGCAAGUCGAGCGGAUGAAGGGAGCUUGCUCCUGGAUUCAGCGGCGGACGGGUGAGUAAUGCCUAGGAAUCUGCCUGGUAGUGGGGGAUAACGUCCGGAAACGGGCGCUAAUACCGCAUACGUCCUGAGGGAGAAAGUGGGGGAUCUUCGGACCUCACGCUAUCAGAUGAGCCUAGGUCGGAUUAGCUAGUUGGUGGGGUAAAGGCCUACCAAGGCGACGAUCCGUAACUGGUCUGAGAGGAUGAUCAGUCAAAGUGGGACUAAGAGACGAUGGAGAAUGCGAGGGUACGCACGGGUGUGGAGUGUGUGACAAUGGGGGGAAGUGUGAUCCAGUUAUGUGGGGUGUGUGGAGAAGGUAUUCAUAUUGUUAAGCAUUUGAAGUUGGGAGGAAGGGAAGUAAGUGCAUACCUUGUGGCAUUGACGUUAAUAACAGAAAGGAAAACCGCUAGGUUGAUG
rnacentral:rRNA from 1 species